CCUACGGGGGGCAGCAGUGGGGAAUAUUGGACAAUGGGGGCAACCCUGAUCCAGCCAUGCCGCGUGUGUGAAGAAGGCCCUCGGGUUGUAAAGCACUUUCAGUGAGGAAGAACGCCUGGUGGUUAAUACCCAUCAGGAAAGACAUCACUCACAGAAGAAGCACCGGCUAACUCCGUGCCAGCAGCCGCGGUAAUACGGAGGGUGCGAGCGUUAAUCGGAAUUACUGGGCGUAAAGCGCGCGUAGGUGGCUUGAUAAGCCGGUUGUGAAAGCCCGGGCUCAACCUGGGAACGGCAUCCGGAACUGUCAAGCUAGAGUGCAGGAGAGGAAGGUAGAAUUCCCGGUGUAGCGGUGAAAUGCGUAGAGAUCGGGAGGAAUACCAGUGGCGAAGGCGGCCUUCUGGACUGACACUGACACUGAGGUGCGAAAGCGUGGGUAGCAAACAGGAUUAGAUACCCGAGUAGUC
rnacentral:rRNA from 1 species